CAACUCUCCUCAUUCCCUAGAAAUUAUUUUUCAUUUAUUUUAAAUUUAAUUUCUAUGUACACACUAUUUCACUCAAUAGCAUGAAAGGUCCUUGAGACCAGGGACUGUUUCUUUUUUUUUUUUUUUUUUGGCAUCUCCAGUGCCUAGCACAGUGCUUAGUAGAUGGAUGGCACAAUAACUGCUUGCUGAAUGUAUGAAUGGAUAAUAUAGGAUGUGAGGCAGAGGGAAGACUCAAGGAUGACUCAAGAUUAUGAAUCUGUGAAGAUAGUAGUAGCAUGCUCAAUAGGAGUUUGCAGGACAAAGUUUCAAGGGGAGGAUGAUAACUUUCAUUUUGAACAUGUUCAAUUUGUGAUGCUAAUGUGACAUUCAGAUGUAAUGUAAUUUACAACCUUGUCUGAUUCUUACAAAAUAGUACACAGAUUAUAUCAUUUGAACUACUUUUCAGCAUAAUUUUUAUGAUUGAUCUCUCAUGUUCUAUAGGAGGAUAUUGUAAUGCCAUAUCCUACUAUUUCCUGCUACAUCAUAAUGGAUUAUGUUGUAAAUUAGAAUCCUAAAUUAAGUAAUAAGGCAGGACAAGAUGUGAAUUACACUGCAGUUAUUUACACCUUAUGUGUUAGGCAGAAGGACAAAAGCAGAUUUCUCUCUGUGAAACCAGAUGGGUUGUUAUACCAUAAUUCAAACCCUAAAAUAUACAUUAAACAUAACAAAAGGAGAAUAUGCAUAUAUUCUUGAACAGGAGAUAGGCAGAGCAUAAGGGGGACAUUCAAUAGCUUGGAUUGAAAAGAAAAACAAACUCUGAGAUUUCUUUCAUGUUUUUGAUUUUUUUCAGAGUCAAAAGCACAGUGGUCUUCAGCUCCCAGCAGGCAUUAAGCCACAGGGAACUUUCAUUUGUAACAGGAGUGCCUGCUAGUCCUUUGGCACUGCCUUAGCUUGGAAAAGGACCAGCAUCUCUCUGAAGAGGAGAUAAGAAGGAACAUUUAAACAACCAAAGUUUUGUUUCCUUUCAGAGGCUCUCUCUUCAGAAAGGAAAAUUGGUUGGAGAAGCAUUUUCUGGUCUAAAAAUGGCUGUUCCCCUCUAAAGCUGUGGCAUAUCUAUAAGAGACCACAUGGAUUCCAAUUUAAAAAAGAGGAAGACUAUCAAAAAAUACCAGAGAAUGGAGCCUAAACAAAAUACCAGUCUGAAUCUUACUGUGCUGGCAUUGAUACUGAAUGGAAACACUAUCCUGAAAGUCAAUGUGCCUGUUGACCAAUGAACAAAGAGGUGAAGUGUUUGAGUGUGAGAAGUAACAGAAGGAAAGCUAGAAUUUGAAAUUUGCUGAAGAUAAUCUGUACAUAUCUAACAGGCCUACAAAUGGCUGUCCAAGAGUUGGAAAACUUCAAACAAAGUCAUGGUGAACGUAAAUGGGAACAGUAAAGAGAAGAGAGUCAGUUUUGCUUUUUGAUUUACCUGAACUCUCACUAUAUGGAGAGAAGGGAUUUAGAUGAAAAAAAUCUAUAUGUGGACAACUGAAAGAUGACUUCAUUUUAGGGAACUAGAGUGACCUCUAUGUAUAAGAGAAAAGCAAAAAAAUAAAAAAAUAAAAUUUACCACAUCUAGAGUCCCUAGUGGAAAAUUAUUGACCUGUAGAGUGGAAUAUGAAUGAUUAUUACCAAAUUUGAGGGAAAAAUUUUGUACAUAUGCUUGAGAUACAUUCUUUUCAAUAAACUAAAAUCUGCAGCCACUAUGAAUUUUAUUACAUCCUUAUUAAAUGCUUCUUUGCCUUUUAACAUGCUGUGCUGUCAAUCUGUCAUGCAUUUUACUGCUCCUGUUUGAGUCAUGUGAUUAUUUAAUAACAGUUUUCAAAAUAUAUGAAGGGUGACAGAGGUUGACAGUUACUUGGAUUUUUCUCAAAAAUAUUAACAAAUAGCUAUCUCAGAAGGUUUAAAAGGAAUAACUCCUGCUCCAUUACAAUGGGAUGACAUAAAUAACUUCAGUGCUCAACAAACAAAAGUUAGCCCCAACACAGGUAUUGUUCGUCAAUGAGUAACUAUAUGAUAGGUCACAAAAAUUUUCACAUACUCCUAAAUAUGAUAUUCCAGCUUAGUAGAUUUAAAUAUUAAUUUACAGGGAAUCUGACUUCCCAUUACUGAUUACUGGAUAUUUUGCAAAAGGAAUAAAUAAAAUAUAGGUUCUAAAACAUAGGAGA